rnacentral:misc_RNA from 1 species
UCUGGAUGAUGAGGCUCUGGUCGGGGCCUCAUCAGAAGGAGGUGGAUGGGACGUCGGGGAUGAUGACCUUGAACUUCCUCCUGACCUUGACGUGGGUCCAGCCGCCGCAGGGGGAGGAGAGGAGGGAUUCUUUGUACCCCCAACCAAAGGAACCAGUCAGACACAAGUCAGUACACAAAGUGAAUUAUUUACAUCAAAGGGUUUGAAAUGAAACUUAAGUGUAAUUGCAAUAGAAGGUAAAAAUAGUGAUUACAGACUUAAUGAUUUAGAGAAUUUAAGCUGAUACAAAUGUUAACAUUUGUUUUUCAGGUUUGGUGCAAUAAUUCUCAGUUGCCUGUGGAUCACAUCCUAGCUGGGUCGUUUGAGACGGCCAUGCGUUUGCUGCAUGAUCAGGUGGGCGUGGUCCAGUUUGACACGUACAAACAGCUGUUCCUACAGACCUUCUCCCGCUCAAGGACCUGCUACCAGGGCCUGCCCUCCAUACCCCCUCUGUUUGGAUUCCCUCACAGAAACUGGUGCGUGUUUUGUCAGAUGAUUCAUAAUAAAUCAUUACUAUUGUAAAAUACUAUUAUUGUGAAGUGCCAAAGACGAGUGAACCAUAAUUUGCUAUAUAGAAGUUAGGUGUUCUAAUUUUAGAUUAAGGAAUGAAACUGAUCUUACUUUAGCAUGAAUUUGUUAUAAGGUUGUUUCUUAAUGUAUUUGAAAUUGUACACUGUCAAUUAGUGUACAUAGUAACACAUUCAGCCAAUUGAUCAUUUUAUAUGGUUGAUGAAUACAAAAAUGUAAGUGGUGCUCUGUGUCCACAGGAAGGAGGCUGGGGCGCGAGCGGGAAUGCCUGCGGUGGGACUGAAGCUAAACACCCUGGUACAGCAGCUACAGGUGGCCUACCAAAUGACCACCACCGGCAAGUUUGGGGAAGCCAUCGACAAGUUCCGCAGCAUUCUGCUGAGUGUGCCACUAUUGGUGGUGGAAAAUAAACAGGAAAUCUCUGAGGUGAGUGGUAUUAUAGGAAGGAUGCUGAAUCUUGGGAUCCUAAAAACAUGUUAUAGCACUUAAAUUUUGUCCAUGAUUAGCAAACUCUUGGUUGGGUCAAUUUUUUAAAGUAUUCAAUCAUUUUGAAUACCAGUAUCUGAUGGGUAAAACGUAUCAUUUUCAGUUAUAGGACCCCAAAAAACAUGCAUGGGGUUUAUUUACAUUUUCUCUUUGAAUAAACAACACUGAUUUUGUAAUAAACACCAGGUGCUUGAAACGAUCAUUUAAACCAUUCUAUGUUCUUAGUGUUGUAGGCCCAGCAGUCAGUGAUUUAAACUGUUUACUUUUUCUUGUGUUGUAGGCCCAGCAAUUAGUGGAGAUAUGUAGAGAAUACAUUGUAGGAUUGUCCAUGGAACAAAACAGAAAAGAGCUGCCCAAGUCCACACUAGAGGAACAGAAGCGAAUCUGUGAGAUGGCAGCCUAUUUCACACACUGCAACCUUCAGCCAAUACACAUGAUCCUAACACUCCGGACAGCUUUAAAUCUCUUCUUUAAACUGAAAAAUUACAAAACAGCUGCAUCAUUUGCCAGGAGACUAUUAGAAUUGGGACCCAAACCAGACGUAGCAACACAGACCAGAAAGAUUUUAUCUGCCUGUGAGAAAACCCCAACUGAUGCUCAUGAACUGAAAUAUGACCAACACAAUCCAUUUGACAUCUGUGCCGCCUCAUACGUUCCAAUUUACAGGGGUAAACCUGUUGUCAAGUGUCCACUCAGUGGAGCAUGCUAUCAACCAGAGUUCAAAGGUCAAGUGUGCCGAGUUACCCAGGUGACGGAGAUUGGCAAAGACUGCAUCGGUUUACGAAUCAGCCCCAUCCAGUUUAGAUGAAUACAUUAAAGGACAUUGUGAAUGCAUUAAAAGACAUUGUGAAUGUGUGAGAGAGAGGAUCAAUACUGUGAUUAUGGUUACUAUGACAACAAGGAUUUUUUGACAUUAAUCGGGAACAGGAAAAGCUUAAGUGAAAAGAUUUCACUAAAAAACUACAUAAGAUAGUGACUUUAUAAUUGCUUGGAAAUGUUUGUUGUUAGGAUUAUAUGUAAUGUUCAUGAAUAUUUAUUAAAUGUAAAUGAAUUUU